rnacentral:misc_RNA from 1 species
UCACCCCUCAAGCCCCCCGGGUUUGGUGUUGGACGGCCUGGUCAGGCGACUGACCCCUCCUAAAGACAAUGACGGCGGCCUCGUGGGACCCCCGGUACACUGAGCUCCUUAACUGGGCACGUAUCGGAUCAACGGGUCUUGGGGGCCACGGUCGGAAACCUAUUAUAUUUUCUCAA